GGCAGCAGUGGGGAAUUUUGGACAAUGGGGGCAACCCUGAUCCAGCCAUGCCGCGUGAGUGAAGAAGGCCUUCGGGUUGUAAAGCUCUUUUGGCGGGGAAGAAAUGGCAACGGCUAAUAUCCGUUGUUGAUGACGGUACCCGCAUAAGAAGCACCGGCUAAAUACGUGCCAGCAGCCGCGGUAAUACGUAGGGUGCGAGCGUUUAUCGGAAUUACUGGGGGUAAAGCGUGCGCCGGCGGUUUUGUAAGACAGACGUGAAAUCCCCGGGCUCAACCUGGGAAAUGCGUUUGUGACUGCGAGGCUAGAGUGUGGCAGAGGGGGGUAGAAUUCCACGUGUAGCAGUGAAAUGCGUAGAGAUGUGGAGGAACACCGAUGGCGAAGGCAGCCCCCUGGGUUAGUACUGACGCUCAUGCACGAAAGCGUGGGGAGCAAACAGGAUUAGAUACCCCGGUAGUCCACGCCCUAAACGAUGUCAACUAGGUGUUGGAAGGGUUAAACCUUUUAGUACCGCAGCUAACG
rnacentral:rRNA from 1 species